rnacentral:rRNA from 1 species
CUACGGGGGGUGCAAGCGUUAAUCGGAAUUACUGGGCGUAAAGCGCGCGUAGGCGGUUUGUUCAGCCGGAUGUGAAAGCCCAGGGCUCAACCUUGGAACUGCAUUCGAUACUGGCAAACUAGAACGUGAUAGAGGAUAGUGGAAUUUCCGGUGUAGCGGUGAAAUGCGUAGAGAUCGGAAGGAACAUCAGUGGCGAAGGCGGCUAUCUGGAUCAACAUUGACGCUGAGGUGCGAAAGCGUGGGUAGCAAACAGGAUUAGAUACCCUAGUAGUCC